UACGAAGGGGGCUAGCGUUGUUCGGAAUUACUGGGCGUAAAGCGUGCGCAGGCGGCCAUUCAAGUCAGGGGUGAAAGCCCAGAGCUCAACUCUGGAACUGCCCUUAAACUGUAUGGCUUGAGUAUGAGAGAGGUGAGUGGAAUUCCCAGUGUAGAGGUGAAAUUCGUAGAUAUUGGGAAGAACACCGGUGGCGAAGGCGGCGACCUGGUCCGAUACUGACGCUGAGGCGCGAAAGCGUGGGGAGCAAACAGG
rnacentral:rRNA from 1 species